ensembl:lncRNA
GUCUUUUGUUGGAGUUACCAGAUCUUGGAGUCUCACUCGGGCGGACAGAGAGACGGAUCUCCACCGGGAUCUCCUCGCACCGCGACUGUACCUGGAGAAUCCGAUUGACUCAAAUAGAACACAGAGGAGAUUCCUGUGGAGUCUGUCCUUCUUUCACCCAGUAAGAGACAGCUGAGUUUAGACUCUGUUUAAACUCAUAUUAGCACAUCUUCCGUAACUCUGACCAGCAGCA